rnacentral:rRNA from 1 species
UACAUAGGGAGCGAGCGUUAUCCGGAAUUAUUGGGUGUAAAGGGUGCGUAGAUGGGAAUGUAAGUUGGUUGUGAAAUCCCUUGGCUUAACUGAGGAACUGCAACCAAAACUGUAUUUCUUGAGUGCUGGAGAGGUAAGUGGAAUUCCUAGUGUAGCGGUGAAAUGCGUAGAUAUUAGGAGGAACACCAGUGGCGAAGGCGACUUACUGGACAGUAACUGACAUUGAGGCACGAAAGUGUGGGUAG